UACGGAGGGGGCUAGCGUUGUUCGGAAUUACUGGGCGUAAAGGGCGCGUAGGCGGCAAUUCAAGUCAUCUGUGAAAUCUCUGGGCUUAACCCAGAACGGCCAGGUGAUACUGCUUUGCUAGAGUGCGGAAGGGGCAAUCGGAAUUCUUGGUGUAGCGGUGAAAUGCGUAGAUAUCGUGAGGAACACCAGAGGCGAAGGCGGUUACCUGGACAGUUACUGACACUCAGGCACGAAAGCAUGGGGAGCAAAAGGG
rnacentral:rRNA from 1 species